CACGUAGGGCGCAAGCGUUUGUCCGGAAUUAUUGGGCGUAAAGAGCUCGUAGGCGGUCCGUCACGUCCGCUGUGAAAACCCAGGGCUCAACCCUGGGCUUGCAGUGGAUACGGGCAGACUAGAGGUAGGUAGGGGAGAAUGGAAUUCCCGGUGUAGCGGUGAAAUGCGCAGAUAUCGGGAGGAACACCGGUGGCGAAGGCGGUUCUCUGGGCCUUACCUGACGCUGAGGAGCGAAAGCGUGGGGAGCGAACAGG
rnacentral:rRNA from 1 species